CCCUUCCUGGCUGUCAUGAGGUAAGCAACCCUGCUCUAACAUACCAGUAUUUGCCAGUGAGAAGAAACUGACUAGCAGAAGACCAGACAUUUCUCAAAAGAAAUUGUCUCAGAUGGCCAAUGGAUACAGGG